rnacentral:lncRNA from 1 species
AUAAUUAUCACACAAGAUGGUUUUGAUGUACGUCUAGCUCUCACAUUUCGUCCACUAUCCUCUUUGUCUAUAGCUCGCUUUGUACUUUCAAUUGCCAUGACGUUCCCUCUCUCAAACUCUUAAUUAGAACUACUACGCUCGAAAACGCCAAGAACACAAGAAAUGGCAAUCUCAAAAAAACAAUCAAAAACAACAAUACAGAAUGACCUC